rnacentral:rRNA from 1 species
UACGUAGGGGGCAAGCGUUUGUCCGGAUUUAUUGGGCGUAAAGAGCGUGUAGGCGGCCAGGUAGGUCCGCUGUGAAAACUCGAGGCUCAACCUCGAGAUGUCGGCGGAAACCAUCUGGCUGGAGUCCGGAAGAGGAGAGUGGAAUUCCUGGUGUAGCGGUGAAAUGCGCAGAUAUCAGGAAGAACACCCGUGGCGAAGGCGGCUCUCUGGGACGGUACUGACGCUGAGACGCGAAAGCGUGGGGAGCGAACAGG